GACGAACGCUGGCGGCGUGCUUAACACAUGCAAGUCGAACGGUGAAGCGCCUUCCUUUUUGGUGGGUGUGGAUGAGUGGCGAACGGGUGAGUAACACGUGAGUAACCUGCCCCCUUCUUCUGGAUAACCGCAUGAAAGUGUGGCUAAUACGGGAUAUUCUGGGUCUGUCGCAUGAUGGGUCUGUGGAAGCUAUUGUUUCGGAGUGGGAUGGGCUCGCGGCCUAUCAGGUUGGUGGUGGGGUGAUGGCCUACCAAGGCGCUGCAGGGUUGCCGGCCUGGGAGGGUGGGCGGCACUACUGGGAAGGAGAGACGGAGCAGACUCCGACGGGAGGCAGCAGUGGAGAAUAGUGCACGAUGGGAGCAAGGCUGAUGCAGCAACGCGUGGGGAGAGAUGGACGCCGGGGGGUUGUGAACCUCUUUCGCGAGUGAAGCGCGCCUGCCUAGUAUGUGGGUGGGUUGACGGUAGCUGGAGAAGAAGCGCCGGCUAACUACGUG
rnacentral:rRNA from 1 species